rnacentral:rRNA from 1 species
AUUGAACGCUGGCGGCAUGCCUUACACAUGCAAGUCGAAUGGCAGCACGGGGGCAACCCUGGUGGCGAGUGGCGAACGGGUGAGUAAUACAUCGGAACGUGCCCAGUCGUGGGGGAUAACGUAGCGAAAGUUACGCUAAUACCGCAUACGAUCUCUGGAUGAAAGCGGGGGACCGCAAGGCCUCGCGCGAUUGGAGCGGCCGAUGGCAGAUUAGGUAGUUGGUGGGGUAAAAGCUUACCAAGCCUCCGAUCUGUAGCUGGUCUGAGAGGACGAUCAGCCACACUGGGACUGAGACACGGCGCAGACUCCGACGGGAGGCAGCAGUGGGGAAUUUUGGACAAUGGGCGAAAGCCUGAUCCAGCAAUGCCGCGUGCAGGACGAAGGCCUUCGGGUUGUAAACUGCUUUUGUACGGAGCGAAACGGCUUCCACUAAUACUGGGGGCUAAUGACGGUACCGUAAGAAUAAGCACCGGCUAACUACGUGCCAGCAGCCGCAGUAA